AUCCAGCUGACGAGUCCAAAGUAGGACGAAGUGAUGCGCAUCAAACUGGAU
rnacentral:hammerhead_ribozyme from 1 species